rnacentral:lncRNA from 1 species
CCGGGUAGCCCAGGGGCAUGGCGGAGCGCUUGUGCUGGGUCUGCAGCAUUUAGUAGAAACGUGUUUUCCAGUUUUUAGUAGAAACGUGUGUUUCAGUGCACGCACGUGAGCGAGGCUCUGCUGCCCUCAACCCGCCGGCAGAACGUGACCUGUAAAGGUGCCCUGUCAGCACACACCGCCGCAGAAGGCCAAGCAGGCUGCCAUUCCUCCUGAGAGCCCUGUGGCAAGCGGAGGCCCAGGAACAGCCACUGGCCAGGCGGGCCUGUUGAAACUUCGGCAGUCUGAAGUCCAGUCACCCAGCAGGGUACCUUGAGUUCACAGUCUUAACUGUCUCCUGCCUUCUCUCUGUGCGGUCCUUCCAUACCAGUGUUUCCUUCAACCUAGGGAAUGAGCUACUCUCUCAAAACCAGCUAGUCAAAUGUUGAACUGUGUGUGUGGAAAAGGAAGAGGCUGAAUAGACCUCUAGGAUACUGGUGUGAUGCCUUCUUUGUCUCAUGAUACCCGAUGUAAUUUCGAUGACCCUCCCAGAUGUAUUACUGGAUUGUCUGGAAAAUUUGUUCCCUAAAGAUGGUGUGCCUGAGGAAAGGGGCUUCAACCCAGAGCUUACUUCACACUGUUCUUGGUGUUUGGCCAAAGUCACCAGGAUCCAAGAUGGUAACAUCUACGUUUCAGGGCCUAGAAGAGACAAAGGAACAAAGCAAUAGAGAGAAAACUGUGAGUGCUCAUUAGUUCUUAAGAACAAUGGAAACUGAUGCAUGCUAUGGCUCUUUCAUUCUACUGUCCACUGUUUUGUCACACGACCAAGUCUAACUGCAAAAGGGUUUGGCAGUCAUGUUCUCAAUCAAAUGCUAACAUUAUAUAUAGAGGUCUAAAGCGAUAGAGUAGGAAGUCCAGCAGUCUCUGUGAUCAACACCAUAAAUUAGUUGAAAAAGCAAGAUAAACAGUUUUAACUCUAGGGGAAAAGUAAUGAAUUAAUUUUUAAGUGAUCAUUAACAAACAGAAUUUUUAAAUACAUAAUUUUAUACAUUUUACUACACAAACAACCAAAGGGAGUUUUUCCUUAUAUCCACACUUACC